rnacentral:rRNA from 1 species
UAGGGAAUCUUCCGCAAUGGGCGAAAGCUUGACGGAGCAACGCCGCGUGAGUGAUGAAGGUCUUCGGAUCGUAAAACUCUGUUAUUAGGGAAGAACAAAUGUGUAAGUAACUAUGCACGUCUUGACGGUACCUAAUCAGAAAGCCACGGCUAACUACGUGCCAGCAGCCGCGGUAAUACGUAGGUGGCAAGCGUUAUCCGGAAUUAUUGGGCGUAAAGCGCGCGUAGGCGGUUUUUUAAGUCUGAUGUGAAAGCCCACGGCUCAACCGUGGAGGGUCAUUGGAAACUGGAAAACUUGAGUGCAGAAGAGGAAAGUGGAAUUCCAUGUGUAGCGGUGAAAUGCGCAGAGAUAUGGAGGAACACCAGUGGCGAAGGCGACUUUCUGGUCUGUAACCGACGCUGAUGUGCGAAAGCGUGGGGAUCAAACAGG